GGGGUGUUAGCUCAGCUGGGAGAGCACCUGCUUUGCAAGCAGGGGGUCAUCGGUUCGAUCCCGAUACGCUCCACCA
rnacentral:tRNA from 2 species